GACGAACGCUGGCGGCGUGCUUAACACAUGCAAGUCGAACGAUGAUGCCCAGCUUGCUGGGCGGAUUAGUGGCGAACGGGUGAGUAACACGUGAGUAACCUGCCCUUGACUUCGGGAUAACUCCGGGAAACCGGGGCUAAUACCGGAUAUGAGCCGUCCUCGCAUGGGGGUGGUUGGAAAGUUUUUCGGUCAGGGAUGGGCUCGCGGCCUAUCAGCUUGUUGGUGGGGUGAUGGCCUACCAAGGCGACGACGGGUAGCCGGCCUGAGAGGGCGACCGGCCACACUGGGACUGAGACACGGCCCAGACUCCUACGGGAGGCAGCAGUGGGGAAUAUUGCACAAUGGGCGAAAGCCUGAUGCAGCGACGCCGCGUGAGGGAUGAAGGCCUUCGGGUUGUAAACCUCUUUCAGCAGGGAAGAAGCGCAAGUGACGGUACCUGCAGAAGAAGCGCCGGCUAACUACGUGCCAGCAGCCGCGGUAAUACGUAGGGCGCAAGCGUUGUCCGGAAUUAUUGGGCGUAAAGAGCUCGUGGGCGGUUUGUCGCGUCUGGUGUGAAAACUCGAGGCUCAACCUCGAGCUUGCAUCGGGUACGGGCAGACUAGAGUGCGGUAGGGGAGACUGGAAUUCCUGGUGUAGCGGUGGAAUGCGCAGAUAUCAGGAGGAACACCGAUGGCGAAGGCAGGUCUCUGGGCCGCAACUGACGCUGAGGAGCGAAAGCAUGGGGAGCGAACAGG
rnacentral:rRNA from 1 species